AGACCCGAAACCCGGUGAUCUAGCCAUGGGCAGGUUGAAGGUUGGGUAACACUAACUGGAGGACCGAACCGACUAAUGUUGAAAAAUUAGCGGAUGACCUGUGGCUGGGGGUGAAAGGCCAAUCAAACCGGGAGAUAGCUGGUUCUCCCCGAAAGCUAUUUAGGUAGCGCCUCGUGAAUUCAUCUCCGGGGGUAGAGCACUGUUUCGGCUAGGGGGCCAUCCCGGCUUACCAACCCGAUGCAAACUGCGAAUACCGGAGAAUGUUAUCACGGGAGACACACGGCGGGUGCUAACGUCCGUCGUGAAGAGGGAAACAACCCAGACCGCCAGCUAAGGUCCCAAAGUCAUGGUUAAGUGGGAAACGAUGUGGGAAGGCCCAGACAGCCAGGAUGUUGGCUUAGAAGCAGCCAUCAUUUAAAGAAAGCGUAAUAGCUCACUGGUCGAGUCGGCCUGCGCGGAAGAUGUAACGGGGCUAAACCAUGCACCGAAGCUGCGGCAGCGACACUAUGUGUUGUUGGGUAGGGGAGCGUUCUGUAAGCCUGUGAAGGUGGCCUGUGAGGGUUGCUGGAGGUAUCAGAAGUGCGAAUGCUGACAUAAGUAAC
rnacentral:rRNA from 1 species